ACAGCCUCAGGCCCCUUCCCUUUUCCCCUCAGCCGCUUAUCUCAGAUUAUUUAUCAACGUUUAAAGCAGAAAGCCUGGGAUCAGAUCCUGGAAUAUAGGGCCUGUCUGGAAGGGCCCUAUAUCGACUACAGCAGUAGGGAACUCGCAAUGACUCCCCACCCCAAUGUGCCAGGGAUCAACUGCCUUCAACUGCACAUGGACAGGCAACAAUCCAGACUGAUGACCGUCACCCCGGCUUUCAAAUUGAUUUGAAAAUGCAGCGGAGAGUUCCGUAGAUCGCUCACCAAAGGAACGGAACGGGACCGCAGCAGACUAUUAUUAAGAGAUCUUUUUAUUUCACUUUCCCCUUCCCUGAACUAUGUAACAAAAUCCCCCAAUAAAAGUAGCA
rnacentral:lncRNA from 11 species